CACAAGCACCACAUCCAGACACAGGCCGCCGCCGCCCCUUCGCAGCAGCACCACGCCCCGGCCAGCACCGGUCGCCGCCGCCGGCCCGCCGCCUCCCUCGCCCCUCCGUCAUCCCCUCCCCUCUGGCCCAGGGCGCUGCGCCGCCGUGCGCACCCAGGGAGGGGGCCAAAGCGCUGCAGGGCACGUGCUCCCCAACGCGCUUGACACCACGACCACCCACUAGGUCAACGCCGCGGAGCUCCCCAACGGGCAUUACACGAUUUUUUUAAUUGGUCUUUCUUGUUUAGUAACAUUUUUGCUUUCAUUCACUGGACCCGUGGGCUGGUAACAUUUUUGCUUCAUUCAUUCACUGGACCCGUGUGUGCUGAUGAAAUGGGCCGUAACGAGUAGGCCCGGGAAGUCGAAAUCGACACGAACGAAACACAAGGGUCAUCAACCACACUUGGCCAGUACACCCGCUGCCGGCUGCUCGUCCUUCUCGUGGUCUUCGUCGCCGGCCACGGUCCGAGGUCGUGAAGCCAUGGCCGCCGCCAGCGUCCACUAUGCCAGGGCAUAUAUUCUGAUGAGCUUUGAGUGUGGUGCUAGCAGUUCUUCAAGAAAACUAUUAUCUCGUCGCAAGUUUUGUGCAUUGGUGGAGCCAACUUUAUCACAUAAUGAACUUCGGAAAUCAAGUCAAUUGAUUCAAUAUCGGGAGUUCAUAUCGCCCAAGUCAUCUCUGAAAGAACUAGCUUGCGAAGAAUUGGUCGGUGGAAUGGAUGACCAAUGGUCCAAUAAUACUUCUUACCCGGACUCAGUUUCAAGGGAACAUUGUUCCGUGAACAAGAGAAAUGUGGAGAAGCAUGUACAAGAUCAUCAACUUCACCAUCCACAAGGUGGCACUUACUUCACUGGUUUGUCGAAGAAGGAAAUCGAGAGAAGACGGAAGAUUGGCGCUGCAAACAAGGGGCAGGUUCCCUGGACAAAAGGCAAGAAAUGGAGUGAAGAGCACAAGAAACUCAUCAGUCAAAGGACUACUCAAGCUCUGAGAGAUCCCAAGGUGAUGUCAUGUUAGGAAGAAAAUGGGUCACCAUCACCAGCAUAGACAAGCGAGCAAAGACAAAAUAAGUGCUGCGUUGAGGAAGAUCUGGGAGAGACGAAUACUUUCUGUCAGAUCAAGGCAGAAGUUUAUGCAAAUAUGGUCAGAUAGUAUAGCAGAAGCAGCAAAGAGAGGUGACUACAGCCAAGAUAAGCUUGAUUGGGACAGCUAUGAAAGGAUUAAAUCCGAGAUGAUAUCUAUGUUCCUGUGGAACAAAGAGAGGGAACAUACAAUCAAAAAGCUUAAAAAGGCAGUGGCGAAAAUAGCUGCCAAGAAGCUUCAAGCAGCAGGGAGAAGGAAAGUACAGGCUGCCGGGACAAAGAAGUUGAACCCUGAGAAGUUGAUACAAAAACCGGAUGCUCAACUGACAAGAGUGGUAGUAUCUGCAAGACCAAAGCUUAAGGAGAGACUAACCAAGUGGCACCGUCGAAAAAAAGAGCUUGAACAUGUGAUAAGUUCACGGGCAAGGAUAAGAGGACUGCCAAAUCUAUCACGAAGGCAGAUAACAGCAGAAAGUCGUGCAGAAGUGGAAUUGGUCGUGCUUGACGCUCCUUCAAGCCCGGAUGCAGGAGCAUCCGUUAUCUAGGAAGGAUGGGUGUCUAACUGUCGAUGCGCUGGUACAUGACUCGAGCUUCCGAUGAAUCGGGAGCUUGCUGACACCUUACAAAGAAGCUCAUGACCACAUCAGGCAUGGUGCUUUUGUGUCCAUCAGAAACGAAGGAAGGUUUGAGUGGAAAUUGUGUGUAGCAUUCGUAAGCAAAACGAGAACAAACUGGCUGAGAAAAUUGUGACUUAUGAGUUGUGAUCACUUCGUUGAUCUGAGCGAAUAUUUGCUUUUCAUUUU